GUCCACGCCGUAAACGAUGGAUACUAGCUGUUCGGUUGCAAGACUGAGUGGCUAAGCGAAAGUGAUAAGUAUCCCACCUGGGGAGUACGAACGCAAGUUUGAAACUCAAAGGAAUUGACGGGGGCCCGCACAAGCGGUGGAGCAUGUGGUUUAAUUCGAUGAUACGCGAGGAACCUUACCAAGGCUUAAAUGUAGAUUGACCGGUUUGGAAACAGAUCUUUCGCAAGACAAUUUACAAGGUGCUGCAUGGUUGUCGU
rnacentral:rRNA from 1 species